GUACAGGAGGGUCAGACUAUGGCAUGUAGAGGGGUACAGACGGUCAGGUUAUGGUAUGUAGAGGGGUACAGACGGUCAGGUCAUGGCAUGUAGAGGGGUACAAGAGAGUCAGGUCAUGGCAUGUAGAGGGGUACAAGAGAGUCAGGUCAUGGCAUGUAGAGGGGUACAAGAGAGUCAGGUCAUGGCAUGUAGAGGGGUACAAGAGAGUCAGGUCAUGGCAUGUAGAGGGGUACAAGAGAGUCAGGUCAUGGCAUGUAGAGGGGUACAAGAGAGUCGGUCAUGGCAUGUAGAGGGGUACAAGAGAGUCAGGUCAUGGCAUGUAGAGGGGUAAAAGAGAGUCAGGUCAUGGCAUGUAGAGGGGUACAAGAGAGUCAGGUUAUGGCAUGUAGUGGGGUACAAGAGAGUCAGGUUAUGGCAUGUAGAGGGGUACAGACGGUCAGGUCAUGACAUGUAGAGGGGUACAAGAGAGUCAGGUUAUGGCAUGUAGAGGGGUACAAACGGUCAGGUCAUGGCAUGUAGAGGGGUAAAAGAGAGUCAGGUCAUGGCAUGUAGAGGGGUACAAGAAAGUCAGGUCAUGGCAUGUAGAGGGGUACAAGAGAGUCAGGUCAUGGCAUAUAGAGGGGUACAAGAGAGUCAGGUCAUGGCAUGUAGAGGGGUAAAAGAGGGUCAGGUCAUGGCAUGUAGAGGUGUAAAAGAGAGUCUGGUCAUGGCAUGUAGAGGGGUACAAGAGAGUCAGGUCAUGGCAUGUAGAGGGGUACAAGAGAGUCAGGUCAUGGCAUGUAGAGGGGUACAAGAGAGUCAGGUCAUGGCAUGUAGAG